rnacentral:rRNA from 1 species
GUUCAAGAGUACGUGAAACUGCUUAGAGGUUAAGCCCGAUGAACCUGAAUAUCCAUUAUGGAAAAUUCAACAUUAAUAUUAUAAUAUUUAUUUAUAAAUAUUAUAAAAAUGGUGUGCAAUUUUUCCAUAUAAGGACAUUGUAAUCUGUUAAUGUAAUAAAUAUUUAUCAUAAGAUUCAAUAAUAAAAUGUUUAUUCAAAUUAGUUAUUUUCGGAUUUCUAACAUAGAAUAAAUUUUAUUGAAUUUGAUAAAUCAUUGACAGAUUUAUUUAUAUAUAGUGCUUAAAUUCUUUAUUGAAUUUUACAAUAAUUUUUAAAUGUAUUUUCAUUUAUUAAUUUAUUGUAUGCACUUAUAUGAUUAACAAUGCUAUAGAUUCAGGAUACCUUCGGGACCCGUCUUGAAACAC